AGGCAUCCCCAUUACCUAUGGACACGGUGCCGCAGGCUCACUCCCUCUGGAAUUCAGUUUCCAAGUGACCUGCCGGAAAGGUUUUCCGUGUCCAG
rnacentral:ncRNA from 1 species